rnacentral:rRNA from 1 species
GAUGAACGCUGGCGGCGUGCCUAAUACAUGCAAGUCGAACGGACGACUUCGGUCGUUAGUGGCGAACGGGUGAGUAACGCGUUGGUGACCUGCCCCGGAGCGUGGGAUAACAGACCGAAAGGUUUGCUAAGACCGCAUACGGUCGUGGAGUUUAGAAAUCCACGAAGAAAGGAAGAAAUUCCGCUCUGGGAGGGGCCUGCGACCCAUCAGCUAGUUGGUAAGGUAACGGCCUACCAAGGCGAUGACGGGUAGGGGACCUGAGAGGGUGGCCCCCCACAAUGGAACUGAAACACGGUCCAUACACCUACGGGUGGCAG